UUGUUGCUUUGAUUUAGUUUUUUUUUUUUAUAGAAUUUUUUCAUCAAGAUUUUUAAUAUUUUUUGAACCCUUUCGAUGAGAUGAAUCUAAAAAAUAUAAGCGUUUUGAUUUAUUUUAAGAAUAAAAAUUCACUAAAUACCAAAAAAGUUGGGAGAAAUUACAAAUUUUUUUUUCAAAUUUCUCAAUAUUUUAAUUUUCAGAUUUCUCUCUCCUGAAAGUACGCUAUUCUUAUUAUUAUGUCUCUAGUAUACUUUUUCAUAUUUUUAGAAUAUUUAAAUUUUUAGAUUUCUGUCAUUUAGAAUACUGAAAAAGUAUAAAUGUUUGAAUAAAUUGUAAAAAAAAAUAACUAAAUCAAAACAUUCGAAAAUUAAAACAGUUAAAUUAGCUCAAAAAAGUUAAUCCAUACGAGGAUUGACUUUUGUUAGCUAAAAAAAGAAUAACAUCUUUACUGUCCUCAUGAUCAUCAAAGAUUUAAAAAUCUAGAUAAAACUUCAUGUAAGAACAUCGAAAUUGAAAUUGAUAGUGCUUGAUAGUUAAAAAAAAAAAUGUAUGACAAUUUUCAAUUUUGAAAAACCAAAAGACAGAUUGAUUCAUCUUUUUUUUUAAAGUCAAAUGGGUUUCAUCACUUCAUGAAAUUUUUUAUAUGGGUUUUUUUUUGGUUCAUCACCGGAUGGAGAAGUUAUUCCAUAUUCCAUUUCUUCUAGUGGCCAAAUCUUCAUAAAAAAAAAACCAUCAGAAUCUUAAAUAGUAAAAAAUGAAGUUUAAAAAGUGAAUUCUUUUGAAAUGCUCCAACAAAGCGAAUCCUUUAUCCUAAGAUGUUCAAAAAAAUUGCUCCUACAACGAAUCCUUUUCCCCCGGUAAAUCAAGCGCACCAUAGGACUUCAAUUUCCCUAGCAAGUUCCCAUUCGUUCCGUCCAGCAAAACAAGGCUAUCCACGUAUGCACCAGCAUAAAACGAGAAUUUGACGACUCCCAUUUCAAGGUUCACAACACACUUACACUCGGGGUGAUAUAAAACCAAGUCUCCACCCCCAAUCACACUCAACAAAUUCACUUGCCCUUAAUACCAAAAACUGGGGUUAAACCGUGGGAUCCAGCCCAUGAGAUCAAAGCCCAUGAAGCCCAAUAAUAACCCAAGCCCAAGCCCAUAACAAAUUCUUCUAGGAUGGGAAUGAAAUGGUACAAAGAAAGAGAGACGGAGAAGAGAAGAUGGGAAAGGAAAGAGUCUCUGACGCUUCAUGUCAAAGAGGCGCCGAAGAAGUCGAAGACUGAGACGCUCCCUUCCUCCAUGGUCAACAAUGGAGGCAUGAAUGAGCUCAGCCAUGAGCCUCAUCUUCUCUUGCUCUGUGGCUAAAAUUUGAGAUGGUUGUGGGAGAAAGAGAGGUGGAACAGUGUAGAGAAAUUCAUGUAAAGUACAGAGAGGCUGUGAGAGAAGAGGAGCAAGACUGAGAGAUUGAGAGAUGAGAUGAUUGAGUGAGUUGAGUGUGAUCUCCUCCUUUGUAUUCAUUGUAAUUAUUCAGAGCUAGUGAAUUAUAGAUCCUCUCCGGGAUGUAGGCAUUGUUAGCGAACCACGUAAAUCUUGUCUUUGUGUGUGGUUUAUGUUGGUAGCGUGAAUGCUUAACUCAUUUUGGCACAACCAAUUGGUAUCAGAGCCAAGUUCGAGGCAUGGAGAGCACCGGAGUGCCACGGAAGUAAACUUUCGAAUUCUGAGCAAAUUCAAAGGCUCAAAAAUAGCGUUGAGCAUAACACGAGAUUCGUCUCUUCGAACGAAGCCCAACACCAAACGAUUCCAAAUCGAGAGUUCAAACGAGCCCUCACGCGCCGUUUGAAGUUCGGCGCGUCAGAUCCACGCACCCCACGCGCGCCAGAGGAGAAGACGAUUGGAUUUACGCGCCCCGGCCACCACGCGCUCGCACGCGGCCAGAGACGGUCCCAGCAGCCGAAGCGCCGUUCACGCGCCUCCCACGCGCCCCAAGCGCUUGCACGCGCCAGGAGAGUGGCAGUCAAUGCAGCACGCGCCCGCACGCGCCAGGCGAGUGGCGGCAAGCCGCGGAACGCGCCCCACGCGGCCCAGCCAUUCCCAGCUCACGCGCCAAGAUGAUCGCCAAGUGAGCCGAUCCGCCAAGCCGCCAUGUGCACCAACGCGACUCUGCGCCAAUCCGGUCGAGCCGCGACGAAUCCGCGAUCUGACUGAGCCGUUGAUCAGUCAUGCCGUGGCUCGGUCAACAGAGCGUUGACCGGUCAAAAACAUGACGUGGACAUUACCGUUGACGAGUACAACAGAAAAAUGCACUUUUUCAGGACUUCUAUUAAUUACAGAGUGGUCCUGAGUUGAGAAAUUACAAUUAGUCUCUGAAGUUUUAAUUUAUUCAAUUUGGGUCCCAGAAGUGUGUGAUUUUGACGGAAAAGCCCUUUCUGAGUUUUCUCGGCAUUCCAGAUUCAUCCGCGGGUCGGUUUUGGGCGCUAUGAUUAUACUUUCAGCUACAAAUACGCCCCUCUGA
rnacentral:lncRNA from 1 species